GAUGAAGAACGCAGCGAAAUGCGAUACUUGGUGUGAAUUGCAGAAUUCCGUGAACCAUCGAGUCUUUGAACGCAAGUUGCGCCCGAAGCCAUUAGGCCGAGGGCACGCCUGCCUGGGCGUCACACGUCGUUGCCCCCCCAUCUACUCCUUCGGGAUUGCGGGGGGCGGAUGAUGGCCUCUCGUGCGCCUCGUCGCGCGGUUGGCCUAAAUGCCAAGUCCUCGGCGACGCACGCCACGACAAUCGGUGGUUGCGAAACCUCGGUUGCCUGUCGUGUGCGGUCGUCGCGCAUCGAGGGCUCGAAAAAAUUGCCGGGCUUCGGCUCGACUUUCAACGCGACCCCAGGUCAGGCGGGGUUACCCGCUGAAUUUAAGCAUAUCAAUAAGCGGAGGA
rnacentral:misc_RNA from 1 species